UACGUAGGGGGCAAGCGUUGUCCGGAUUUAUUGGGCGUAAAGAGCGUGUAGGCGGCCAAGUAAGUCUGCUGUGAAAACUCGAGGCUUAACCUCGAGCUGUCGGCGGAAACUAUUUGGCUAGAGUCCGGAAGAGGAGAAUGGAAUUCCCGGUGUAGCGGUGAAAUGCGCAGAUAUCGGGAAGAACACCCGUGGCGAAGGCGGUUCUCUGGGACGGUACUGACGCUGAGACGCGAAAGCGUGGGGAGCGAACGGG
rnacentral:rRNA from 1 species